GUUGGGUUUAAAGGGAGCGUAGGCCGGAGAUUAAGCGUGUUGUGAAAUGUAGAACGCUCACGUCUGCACUGCAGCGCGAACUGGUUUCCUUGAGUACGCACAAAAGUGGGCGGAAUUCGUGGUGUAGCGGUGAAAUGCUUAGAUAUCACGAAGAACUCCGAUUGCGAAGGCAGCUCACUGGAGCGCAACUGACGCUGAAGCUCGAAAGUGCGGGUAUCGA
rnacentral:rRNA from 1 species